AUAAUAGCGUUAUGUGUUAUUCAGGUUUCCCUCCAAGGCCAAGAAGGACAGGUCUGCGGUCCACGCGCACGUCCCCGUAGUCUCAACAGCCACCAAGGUUGAGACUUUCUGCAGGGAUGUGUGCAUGCAGCUGCAGGCCUGUCCAUGUUUUUGGACCCACACAAUAUGUAGACCAGUGUCCGCAUAACUGUCGGACAAUUAAAAAGUCAACCUUCCGUUUCAUUCCAAGGAAAAGAAAGAUAGGUUUGUGGUCGACGCGUACGUCCCCGUAGUCUCAACAGCAGACCAAGUUGAGACUUUCCGUAGGGAUGUGUGCAUGCAGCUGCGGGCCUGUUCAUAUGUGUUUGGGCUCCAUCAAUAUGGAGACCAGUGUCCGCACAAAUGUCGGACAGUUAAAAAGUCCACCUUCCAUUAUGGUGCGAAAA